rnacentral:rRNA from 1 species
GUCUAUGGCCAUGCCACCUUGAACAAGCCUGAUGUCUAAUCUUGGAAGCUAAGCAGGGUCAGGCCUGAUUAGUACCUGGAUUGGACCACCAGGAAGACCAGGUGCUAGAGGCA